AACAUCGUACUGUAAUUCCUCAUGAAUGAUUAGAUCAGCCUGCUGGGAGUGCUACCAUUAUACAGAAGGCAAAUGUCACUGGUUGCCUCAUAAAUUUAGCAUACAAGUAUUAAACUUAUUAGGUCUGAUUCACUGCUGCCUAAACUUUGGUUUAUCCUACUACGAGGCAGAGGAGUUUCAUCAGCAGAAAUGUGUGGUGAAACACUGGUUCUGUUCUCUUUUAAAGGGAUCAGCUGUUUCCAGUGACUUUCGUAAGACCGACACUAAGUAGAUUCACAGUUGCUCUGCUCAAGCUAUAAAGUGUCAGAUCAUGCAGGAGAGCCAGUCCCAGGAAAAAAAAUAUAGGCUGGUAUUUCUGGCAUAUAGCUUGCACCCCUUCAUAGUGAAGGUAGGUCUAGACUGCAAAACAAUUAUGUGCUUUGGAGCUAUGUUGACGAAAUCAAAUUAGCUGCUUGGCUUUGGACACAGGAUAGCUGCCCAAGUGCAAGUCUGCCACAGAGCUCACGUUGAGCAGGAGCUGGGGAUGUGAUUCAAAACCCAGACUGUCUCCAUUGCCCUGGCAAUGGCCAGAGCAACCCCGUCACAUCUCUCACACUAUCACCCUCCUGGGGAAGGGGAACAAAAUGGCAUGACACCAUCCGAGUGCACUGCACAGCUCCAGAUCCAAAUAUGGUGACAUUCUCUUGAUAGUUCAGAUUUUUCAUCAAGAGAGUCACUUCCCUCAAAAAGAGCUUCCUUCCACCUCCUGCUCAUCAGAGUGGAAGUAGAAGUCUCAGGACAUAAAAACAUUGUUGGGAAAACCUUUAACAUCACAUUCUACCGACAGCAACACAGAUAUGAGAGCAGAAUGUGGCCUCUGAAGCUCAAGAUCCUUGACUUUCCGAGUGAAGGAUUGUUCCCCACAGUCCCCCUGAUGCAUGUUGUCCAAGGUAUUUUUAAUGAGGUGUUGACUAAUUCCCUGGGGAAACUUUUCCGCAGUCUGACAGGUCUCACUGUUAGCCUUCUAAACAGCCUGGAUUUCGCUUUACCAGACUUCAACUCAAAUUAUUUCCCUCUUUCCUUGGUGUAUUUUGCAUCUUUCAAAUAUUUGUAGGCAGUUAUCAUAUCCCCAUUUUAGCUGUCUGGAAGCCAAGUUAAACAUAAUUAGCUUUUCUAAUCUUCCUCCAUAAAUUCAACUUGCUCUCUUGAAACUUACGUGUCUUUUUGGUAUGAUGAAGCUACAUACUUUGUGGUUGUUUUUCACACGCCAUCACUGAUACCAGUAGGAAGAGACAUCACAAAAUCAGACAGGACUUUGGGGAUGGUUUCUAUUCUAGGAUCACUUUUUGCUCUUUGUAAUGCAAGAUUAGCUUUACUGUCAAAUAAUUUAGGGUGUCCUUUGAACAUUUAUAUCAAUGAGCAUUUACAAAACUCAAUCCCUUUUCAGUAUUCUUAAAGCGAAUUUCUGUCAGGGAUAGAUUAAGAGUUUUAUGCUUGUUUUAUAGGCAGAGUGUGCAUGGGUAGACAUCAGGGAAGGGUAGGCAUCAUGAAAGGCUAAUUUACCUAUCCUGGAAAUUUGUUAAUUUGAUGGGGGAAAGUGAUGUUUUGUCAAAAAAGUGUGCUAUACAAACAGUGCUAAACAUGUUAUCCCAGACUGGUUUCUGUUCAGCACAAAUAAAUGGGGUACAUUGGCCACACAGUGCCCAAACCCUAUUUGUCAGAUCUGGGUGAGAAGGAAGCAUUUCAAAGUAUAUUUCCUACAUGAAUAGAUGGAAGUUUAACCAGAGAAAUGUUUUGCACACCUAUUGGCUUUGUCCACAGGCAAGCCCUAUCGCUCUGUAUGACCACCUGAACGGAGGUUGCGGCCAUGAAAAGUCGCUGCAUAAGGACACUACUGACAUGCUACAGAAAUUUGUCCAUAUGGAGAUUUUAAAGGUGAGCUGCUUUCAGGACUUGAGCUGCUCCACUCUCAAAGUGACACUGAAAAUCUCCGUUUCAUCUAUUAGUCAUAGAUGACUGAAACAGUUUCCUAAGGAAUGCAAUUGAUUCUUCAUCCAUUGGAAUGCUGGUACCAGGGUUGGUUAGUUUCUAUGUGAUAAGCUAUAACUUAAACAGAUGCAAGUCAUGUCUGCUAAAUCUCUGUAACUUCUUCUGUUCAGCAAAAAGACCAGAUUAGAAGCUAAUCCUUUGUUUGCCUUUAAGCAUAUACUUACUGCUCCUUCAUCCACUGUAUUUGUACGGAUCUGUAGAAUUUCACUUUGUCUCUCUCAAAUAUCAUAUCUAUGGCAAAAAGUGUAAAGAAGUCAAAAUGCCUUCAGGAAAAAUAGCAAAUGAAGCAGGAAAAUCCCUGCUGCAAGAAAAUCCCCUGAAGCAGGGAAGAAGCGUGCUCAAGUACAUGCCUCCUUCAGCUUUAAUAUCCUUCCUGAGGACAGAAGUCUUUGUUCUUCAGGGUCUCACUCACAGAAUUCUACAGUCCCCUCUGAAUAAGCCCCUCUAAAUAAUAAUGUGAGUGAUCAGCAUGGCUGCUUGGAGGUUUGGAAAUUUUGAAACAUAUACUAAAUGUUUUAAUUACAAUUUUAAGAGAAGCUGGAAAAUAUCUAAUUUCUCUCUCUCUUUUUUUUUUUUUAUUUUAUUAUUUUUUUUUAUUUUUUAUUUUCUGGCAGAUGAUAUUGUUUUCACAACCCUUCCUGUGGGAAUUAUUCUAUGAUUCUAUCUUUAGCCAGGUAUGUUUUGAUAGGACAAGGGGAAAUGGUUUCAAGCUAAAAGAGGACAGAUUUAGAUUGGAUGUAAUGAAGAAGUUCUUAGUUCUUUGCCCAGAGAAGUGGUGGAUGCCCCAAUCCUGGAGACACCCAAUGUCAGGCUGGAUGGACUCUGAGCACCUGAUGUAGCUGUGGGUGUUCCCGUUCAUUAGAGGAGACUUAGACCAGAUGGUCUUUAAGGGUCCCUUCCAACUCAAACAAUUAUAUGAUUCUAUGAACAUGUCUGUGCCCAAAACUGGUUAGAUGGAAAUUGAGGUGUGCUUCUUUGGUUUAGCUCAAAGUUCAUAAGGAACACCAGUGUGGAAAGGACAUGAAAAAUACUGAAAUCCAAGUAAAUGAAAAUUAGAAGAAAAGGAACUGCAUUUGUUAUUACAAAACCUCAAAAUGCCCUGGACAGCAGAUUUCACACACUGACAGAAGCAAAAUCAGAGCUGCUUUCUGCAAGAUCACCCAGAGCCUCUCCCAGAAUCACUAUGAAAGUGGAACAAAAGCUGAAUGCAGCAGUAGAGGCUGAUGCAGAUAUGCCAGAGGGGACCUGUGCUGGAACAGUGGGUGCAGACAACAAGAAAUGGUGGGAAAAGCUGGGGAGAGGCUCUGAAAUAUCCAUGUAUUUGAGCUCUGGCUUUGCCUUCUUUUUUUCAUUCAAAGACUGUUUACUUUACUUUGGCACUUAAAAAGAAAUCAAGUGCAGUAAAGGUCAGCUUUAUUAUUUUUGUUGCUUUUUUAAGAAGUUUAAGCCAUGGCCAUAGGAGAUUGCUUUUGACAUUUGGGAAAGAAAUGUCUGCAUAUAAAAUCAUUCAUUUUAGACAUAAGUGAUGAUGCCCCAUUCACCACAGCAGGAAAGAUUUUAUGGAUACAAAACAAAAAGAAGAUGGGGAAUCUGAAGCAAACUCUUCAGCUUUCCUCCCUGCCAUUACACUUGUUGAGUUGUUUAUUAAUUCUUACACUUACAAUAUAUGUGCAUGAAACGAUCAGGGUCACCCCUAUAAUCAUGACAAAAUGUUUGUUCUGUAUGUAAUAAUUCCUAUACAGAUCCCAUAUGAAAUGUGAAAAGUUUAUUCUUGGGCAAAGGCAGAGGACAGGCUUUUGCAGGGCUAUCUGCCGAAAAGAGAAUAAAAAAAGUUCACUGGGGUUUUGCCAGUAACUUGAACAAGAACAGAGCUGGGCUUAUGUCAAAAGUUUUUGAAAAUCUCAGCUUUGAUUUUUUAAUGACCACUUGUAUGAUGGACUACUGCAAACCAUUUAUCUGCAGAAAUAAAUACUCAAAAUAAAAGAAAACAGGACAUGGUCAGGCAAGCUGUGGUUUGUACCAAAGCUUCAGAUUUGCUGAAAGACAGAUAUAUAAUAUUCCUCAGUUGUUUUGUUUUGUCGUGUUUUGUUGGCUUUUUUUUCUAGAAAACCACUACUGAAGAAGUUUUACCAACCUCUUCAAGUUCGUGUCAAAAAAUAGUACUGAAAACUGAUCCUUGGGGAUUUUCCUGGAUAGAGUUUCACCAUCAGAUAGAAAGCCAUAGCCCUGAGUCAGCAAGGAACAGGCAGACCUACCUUUAAACACGUGGAAGUUAUUUAUAGGAGUAAUUCACUGAAUCAGGCCCCGAAAGAGAGAGAUAAAGGGGAAGAUUUCAUAAAAAGACUAAGCUACAGGAAAUCCUGUCAGGGUCACGUUUGAAACAUCAGAUGUGCGCCCUCCCAGCCCAUCCUCUAAAAUGAAUUUAUAGCAAAACUCUUCUUUACAAAAGCAGUGUUUUGCUGGAAGAUGAACUCAGUGUGUCUGCUGACAGCCUGAUGGUGGAUGUACACUGAGCUGGAGUACGAAUUCCAAGCAAAGCCUCCAAAUACCAUUACAGGACAGGUUCUAGAAGUCUUUUUGCUGUUCUAGUAGCAAGUUGGGCUUAUAAUUUUUAUUCAAAGAAGCCAAUAUCAAGACUUGCAAGAGCACCUACAUUUGUUGUUUCCUCUCUAAAAACUGACCCUUGCCAAGGUGUCUCAAGUGGGACACUCAGGAACUACAGUACCUCACACCACUAGACAUCAUAGAAAACCCUAGCCUGAACCUACAAUGCAUUAGUCCCCCAGCAGAAUUGAUCUCUGUAACAAAAACUUUCUUGUUCUGCUGAAAGACAAUAUCUGUAACCACUGGCAAGAAGGACCACAUUUGGUUAUUUUUUGUAAUUCUUCCCCACCCCUCCAAGCAAGCUGAGAUGACCUUCCAAUAAUGGUUUAUUUCUUCUUGGCUUGGUCUGAACAAAAGCUUUCUAUUCACAUGCAUGUGAAAGAGAUUGUGGAUGUUUCUGUGGUGAAAGAUCAAAUCUCCCUUUUGAACUUUGCAGUGGAUAGGCUAAACCUGUGGCACCUCUGGGGCUUUCAGUGGCCUUUCAGAAAGCAGACAACUAAAUGCUUGUUUGGAGUGUUUGCCUGAAGUAAAGAGUACAUAUGAGAGAUAUGGGGAAUAAAUUAGAGUCCUCUGGAGCAUAGGUGAGUUCAGAUCAGCAAAACACAUUUCCUACCAAUAGCUGAUGUGGCCUUAUGGUGUGGCAUUAUGGUGUGUCUGGGAAUUUGCUGCUAGCUGAGCAAUACUCAGUGCAGGCUGCAUCAUAGAACCAUAGAAUAUCCUAAUUUGGAAGAAACCCAUAAGGGUCAUUGAGUCCAGCUCCUGUGUGGACAAGCAGUGUCGUAAGUCAUGCAUAUCCCUGUUUCAAUUCUCAGACUCAACAGAACAUCUUUUCUGUAACUGGAGCACCUUGCUUCAGCUUUUAACCAGGGUGUCUUCAAGACAAGAAAUGGUUUACAGGGUAAAAAGCAUUUAAAUUAGGUGAGGGAAUUCUCUUCUCAGCAGUAUCAACUUUGCCAAAGAGAGAAAGAGAGAGAGCGAGCUCUGGGGUGGAAUAGGUACCAUUUAAAUUAAGGUUUAGUGAGUAUGACAACAAAAACUGCUUUUCUACCGUUUGAAGCAAUCUGGUUUUCUCAAAAUGCUUUUUUUUUUUUUUUUAAAGUAUUUUUCACUGUGGCCUCUGUGGCAAGGGUGACUUUGCAGGUGUUGAGGGGUGUGCUUCUGUCAGAGGGGAAAAUACGCAAAUCUUCCUUUCUUUGCAUGGUAAAACAUUAACAAAAGCUGCCCCUGAAAGCUCCAUUCAGACACAUGAUGAAUUCUGACCCUUCCUGCUGCUGUUGUCUUUGUACCAGGGCUCCCUGGAGGGGCUCUAAGAACCCUCCCUCUGCCCUUGUCACACAAGAUGCUAACCUAUCCUCCAAGUGCUAUUGGAAGUGGUCACAAUGUGCCAAUCUUGUGAACAAACCUAGCUGCUUGUGUUUGCCAUGGAGAAAGGAAGGAAGAAGUCUCCAGUAGAUCUGCUCCAAUAUUGCAGUGGAAUGUGUGGAAAUUGUUUAUUCACUUGUCUCUACUGCACAAAAAUCCCAUCCCUCUGCUCUUGCACCAAGAUGAAAUGCAGCCUUCGCUCUGUCUCACUUUAUUUGUUAGCUUCCAGUAGUUCCAUUUCUUCCAGAGGUAUCUACAUAAAUCAUUGCCAGAUCAGGGCCACAAUUUAGAACUUUUCUGGUGAAAAGGAGCUGUGACAAUGGAUCUGGACACCACAAUCUUUUUCUUUUUUCUUUUUAAUCAUAGAAUCAUAUAGGCUGGAAAAUAUCCUUAAGGUCAUUGAGUCAAAUCAUCUACCUAACUGCUGAAUCCAGCACUAAACAGAAGGUAUAUUUCUAUGUCCAUUUAGAUACAGACUGAUUUACAUGCAAUUGCUACUGAUGUGGUGGGAUGCUUUGGGUGAAGACUGGGUUAGAAACCUGACAGAAUGCAUGGCAAAUUGCUUGGCCUACAGCAUAAGGUGUGAGCUGCAGGGAGCUCUGCCCACAUUUCAUAUGCAGCAGGCUGAGGUUCUCAAUCCUCAAAUCAGUACUGCAAGUCAUAGUGUCCCAAGAAAUGAACAACAUUUUGAUUUCCUGAAAAUAAAGCCAGUAAUGAUCAAUCCCGUUUCAGCUGAAGAAUUGAGUAAUUUCCCCAAAAUCUUGGAAGCAGAGACUUAUCUGCACAACGGCCUGGCGUGUCCAUAAUUUGAAAGGCCUGGGGAUCUACUGCUUGACCAUUAGGCAUUGCUUCUUUCCACUCUGACACAGUUUUUGUCUGGGAGGACAAGGGGAUUUACUACCUCGGGGUUUCUGAGGACCAGAGCUGGCUGAACAUUCCUCAUGGCCCUGAGUUGUAUGGGAAUUUAGCAAGCCUCUCUUCUCAGGCAGCAGAUCCCUCAUCUCAAGAAAUCUUUUGAUUAAACUGUCAAGCUCUGGGAUGUGCAGCUGAAGGGAACAACAGAAUUUGAAGAAACACUUAAAGAAAUAUUUUUUAUAAUUCCCAGCACGGACAGAAUGAUGACAUACUGUGGGUCUAGCAAACUUGCCUGACAGGCCAUUGUGGCUUUGUAUGUAAAUAUAAACAUAUAUUUGCAUAUUUCCUAACAUCUGUUUUGAGUUUGUGUUCCCUUUAGUUCUAUUUAAAGUACAUCUUGUCCUAUUAUCACUGAGGCUGAAAUUUGGAGGACUCUGCUAAUAAACUCUAACACUGCAAAGCAACAGGACACACUCUCCUCCUCCCUGUCUUUUCAGCCCAUUCUUUUACAGCUGUUCUUUGCUUGUAUUCCAAAGUGCAACAGCAUCACCCAGCCUGUGGAAGGAGCUCAGUUUCUUAAGCAGAUUCAAAUCUGUGUGUGUAUUGUGAGAAAUGGUGGUCAGUGUCAAAAGACUCAAAGUGUGAUUCAGCGGUGGGGCUACUUUGAGGAACAAAGGUGUGGAGCAAUGGCACAACCUGCCAGUACACCAGUGGCCAACAGCUGCAGCUGAUCUUACUUUGAUGGCAAUCACCUAUUUAACCUUGCUGCAGCCUUUUGCCACAUCUCAGUGGCUUUUAUAAAAUGCUUUUCCAAGGAACAAUUAAGCACUAGGACAAAUACAUAUGAUGUUCUUAAAAGCACAGAUUCCUGUGUUGCCAGAUGAUGUGCAAAUCAAAGGCUUUUCUGCACUGAUGAAAUUCCAGGAAAUGCAGUGUGGGGGAGAAGAGCUACAGAGAGAUAGCCAGAAACAAGAUGCUCAGAUCAGCCAUCCAAAAAAGUUGCUUUUUCAGCCAAAUUGCUAAGCCUUUUAUGAGAAAGAUAUCUUGGUUUGGCAGGGAAAAAGAGGCAGCUCCACCAGACAAUAAUAAAAUAAAGUAAAAUAAAAUAAAAUAAAAUAAAAUAAAAUAAAAUAAAAUAAAUAAUAAAAUAAAAUAAAAUAAGCCCUAGUUGGAUGCUAAAUACUAUUAUUCCAGGGGAAACACAACUUGUUCUCUGCUGUGGCAAAGCUUUCAGCUGAAACCCUGAAACUAGCAACCCUGGAACAGGAGCCAGAGAGCCUGGGCUGAUGCUAGCAAACCCUUAAGUUUCUAUUGGCUCAGUAAAUGCAUUUGUGCAGCUUUGUCUCCAGAAGCAUCUCAUUAAAACGAGAUGCGAAUCACCAAGAUAAAUGCCUGAGUAAAUGGAUAAGCCUCUCAUAUAAAUCAUAUUUACAUGAGUAUUGGCCUUCUCCCUUCAUUGGAUGAAUUAAAGCUUACCCUGUAGCUAUAACUGAGGUUCUGGUGGUGCAAAGUUUAUUAUUACACACACUUAAGGCAUCAUUAACAAACUUACCUGCGAAUGUACUUGUCCACAAUAACUGAAUGUGCCAUCUCUGCCUCAAUGCAAAUGGAAGCCAGACAGAGCUGUGAGAAGUCACAGCUGCAAUUAACAUGGAGGCUUCUCUGGCUGGGAAAGGUGCUCUACCACUCAGCUCUGAGUACUGCUCCUCUUGCCAGUGCGAUGGGUGGUUGUGGGCACUGCAUCAAAGGCUGUGACACUGCUGGAGAAGAACUCCCUCCUGGGGUGUUGGCACUGAUCCUCUGCUCUGCAGCAGUGGUAGGGGCUGGUGAGCUCUGAGGAGCAGUGCCACACUGCCCUGCAAGUGUUGAGAUCCUCAUUUCCAAGGCUCCUGCAUUGUUUCCUUGCUCCUGUCUUGCCCAACCCAGAAGACUCCAUCAGUUCCUAAGAAGCCCUGAAUCCCCAUGAAGGGAGCAGGCAAUAAAGAAGACCAAGUUCAGCUACAGACUUGCUGUAUAACUUCAGCAGAGGCAGAUCAUUCUGCACUUAUUUCCUUUAAUAAAUAGGAAAAUGAGACACCCUCCUCCCCACCACACCCCGCCAGGGUGAGCUCUCAGAGCUGCACAAACAUGUGUGUAAUUACUCCUCAGUGCUCGCCACAGAGGCGCACCAUACCCAGCUGUUCUGAAUUUUCUUUCCAAAUGUCGUUAUUUUUAAAAGAAAAUAAAUGACUUGCCUUCAAUUUCUUCUUCUUUUUACUUUUCCUAGCGUGUUGAAAGAAAAAGGUUUCAUAAUUGCUAUUGCAGAAGAGACUUGCAUUACACUUUCCACCAUCCAGCACCCACACAGCGAGACCUUAUUCACCUCGGGUACAAGAACAUGUGCUGACUUGAAUACGUACCUCUCACUUUCUGAUUUAAUUAGCAUACGGCAGCUUACCAUUCCCUUUGCAAUAUAUUAAGGGCUAUUUGCUUUUCUGCAUUGUUGGGUUUUUCCCCUUUAUUCCCACUGGUUACUAAGAAGUGGUGAUGAUAAAUAGAUCUUGCACCUACAGUCAUGAAUUUUUGCUUUAAAAAGCUCAAGAGAGAAUAAAUUAGAAAAACUAAAGUCUCUUCUGCAUGAGAUCCAAACCUUGGUUCCUAAUCCAAACUUCCCAUAAUUCAAAAAGCAGAAGAACAAACACCACAGGUAUCUUGGCUGGCUACAUCACGGGUGCAGUUUAAUGGAGUCUUGCUCAGAGCCAGCUUCCAGAUGGUGCCAACCAUUUCCUGUAUUUUAAUAAGUCGCCAGCAUACACAGCAUACCUAACACCCAGUUUCCCUUAUGACAACCACCUGCUUUCCAAGAAUAACAAUCUAAAGCCUUUUGGUUAUCAAGGAGACUCCAAAAUCCGAAAACAGGCUCCAUUUCCGCUUCUCACCAGCUGUCUGCUCUGCCCUCUCAAAGCCAUCCUACACUUGACAGCAGCAGCUGGCCACAAGUCUUUGGCCAGAACAACCAUUAAAUUGCACCAACAAUGACAACGAAAUUGCUAACAAACCAUCCUCCCCACCAGAGUGGGGGAGGAACAAUGACUAGGUGUCUUCAGGCUAUAAGUGAGCCAUGUCGUGACUCAAGAGCCAGCCUGCUCUGCCCUACCUGCAGCACACCUGGCCCACAGACCUUCUUUCCUCCAGCAGAGAAAGCCCACUCAUCUGCCCUUCUCCACCCAACACUUCUCUAGCUGAAAGCUCCAGGCAUUUUGUGGUGUAAGAUGGUUCACAGCCUCUGUGGCCACCCACAUUACACACAAAUUUGCAAAUGAGUCAAAAAGUUCUACAUAAACAACUUGGUAUGAUGUGCUGUGAUGCUUCUGUAUUUCUGCACGGUAAUCAUAGACUCAUAGAAUAACCCGAACUGGAAAGGACCCAUAAGAAUCAUCAAGUCCAGCUCCUGGGAUGAGUUAAGUUCAUCAAGGUUUUGGCUUGUGCUGAUGUACGGUGAGAAAGAAGAGUGGGAGACUCUUCACAGUUACAUUAAUUCCAUUUUAUUUAAUAAAAAACAGUAUCAGAUUAAAAAUACACUUUGGGUGAUUAUCCAGCGUUUUCCCCUGUGUGCCUCCUAGAGCUCAAACCAACCGAGGAUAGGGAGAAAAAAAAUAAUAAAACAAAACAAAACAAAAAAACACCAAACGAUUUUGGCCGGAGCUGUAAAAUAAUGUUGCACCAAUUAAAUUACACCGAAUAUAUUAUUAUACCUUUGAAAUGGCUUUCAGACCAAUAAAUUAAAAAAAAAAUAAAAAUAAAAAAAUAAAAAAGAAAAAAAAGGAAAAAAAAAGAAAGACAAAUUCAAAUAAAAAAGCCAACUUUGUAUUACAAAAAAAAAUUAAAUAAGAAUCACAACACUAAUAAUAACAAUGUGCAGUCAAGUGUUUUGUUUGUGUUUUUUUGUUUUUUUUUU